UCGACUAAAUCACAUACACAACAUAGAUCUAAGAAAACAAUAGAGAAAAAAAACCUUGAGUAGCUUAGGGUUUUGGAGAAACCCUAGAAAUGAGAAAGGCUUGGAAGAAAGCCCGAUUCGAGUCAGAGAGGUAGAAUCAGGCCCUCUAAUGCUUGAAUAUGCUGGAUCACAGACCAAAGAGGUCAUAGAACCAUAGAUCUAGGAAGAUGUGGAGGUGAACCACCGAGGUCAGGCCUCAAAGCUUCGAACAAACAUGGUUUAAUGGUGGAGAGGGGUGAGUACAUACCAUCCAUGGCCUGAGAAGCCAUGGACUCUGGUGGAAGUACGGUGGAAAAAAGGUCGGAGAUGAUUAGGGUUCGAAGAACCUUCGAGAGAGUUUGAG
rnacentral:lncRNA from 1 species